UGUGAAGAAAAAAGUGGUGAAGUGCCGUAUUAGAUUAAUGGGGUACUUGAGCCUGAAGAAACUGAUAAGAGGAACAGGUUGAAGAGAUGUGGGAAUGUGGAAUAUCUACACGCGUCUUUGUUAAAAUAAUUGGUUACAAAAGCCACUGUCCCAUUUUCCUAAAGCUUAUUAUUGCUUUCCAGCUGGGUCAACUUCCUCCGCCAUUCUUGACUACUCCGUCACACUUACAACUCGAUUACUUUCGGUGAAAGGAGCCAGGAAACUGCUUUGCACUUGGCCAAACCGAGAGGACUAAUAUAUAUAACAAGAGAUAUAGUCCUUGACAGCAACAGUACCAUCCCAAAUUAUUUCAAUUCAGCCUCCUCACUCAUCCUCCUGCAAUCAAACAACAUGGAUCUGAGCCUCGGAGCCUCUUCCUUUUCUUCUUCUUCUUCUUCUUCCACCCAUUCAUUCACACAUGAUGUCUUUCUGAGCUUCAGAGGUGCGGAUACGCGCAACAAUUUCACUGGCCAUUUGUACAGUAAUUUGGAUAACAAGGGAAUUAAGACCUUCAUAGAUAAUGACCUUACAAGAGGAGAAGAUAUAACAGAGGGGCUUCUCGAAGUAAUUGAAGGAUCAAGGAUUUCCAUUGUUGUAUUUUCUGCAAAAUAUGCAUCUUCAAAGUGGUGCUUGGAUGAACUUGUCAAGAUCUUUCAAUGUAAAGAAUCCAAGCAACAAAUCGUUUACCCAAUUUUCUACAAGGUAGAUCCGUCGGAGAUACGAUACCAGAAGGGCCAGGUUGGUGAUGGAAUUGCUCACCUCAGCAAGUACGAGGAUAACUUAACGAAGGUGGGGAGUUGGAAGGCAGCCCUUACACAAGCAGCAACUUUGUCUGGGUGGCACAUCUCGGAUGGAGGGCAUGAAGCGAAUGUUAUUGAUGAAAUUGUUAAAGUGAUAUCAACCCAAAUAAUGAAAUGCACCCUUUUAGAUGUGGCAACACAUCCUGUUGGAAUAGAAUCUCGUGUAGAAGACAUACUUAAGCUCUUAAAUGUAGACCAAGGCGAUCCUCACAUGGUAGGGAUAUGGGGAAUUGGCGGAAUAGGAAAAACAACACUUGCAAAAGCUGUUUACAAUUCAAUUAGCCAUAAGUUUGAACAUAGCUGUUUCUUGAAAAUUGUUAAAGAAAAAUCACAUGGAGGUCUUGUUGAGCUACAAAAAAAUUUUCUUUCUAAGAUUAUAGAGAGGAAUCCACCUAUUGUGACCAAUGUUGAUGAAGGAAUCACUAUGCUGAAGAAAAGCCUAAGACAGAAAAGGGUUCUCUUAGUUCUUGAUGAUGUGGACAGCUUGGAUCAAUUAAAAAAACUUGCUGGAAGGUGUGAUUGGUUUGGUCCAAGAAGCAGAAUUAUCAUAACAACAAGAGAUACGAAUUGCCUAAGUGCCCAUGAAGUCAAUUCAAUAUAUGAGGUCAAGGAAUUAAAUCAUCAAGAAGCUUCAAAGCUCUUCAAUUUCAAUGCCUUCAAAAGAAAUAUAUGUCUGGAUGACUUCUUUGAACUUGCAAAUGAGGUAAUACGUUAUGCUAAAGGGAUUCCGUUAGUUUUGGAAGUUCUAGGGGCAGAUCUAUGUAGUAAAGAGGAUAAGGAUGAGUGGAAAGAGGCAUUAGAGUAUUACAUGAGAUAUCCUAACCAAGAGAUUCAAAAAACUCUCCAAAGAAGUUACGAGGCAUUGCCUGAUCGGAUAAAAGAAGUUUUUCUUCAUAUUGCAUGUUUCUUUAAAGGUGACAAACAAAGCUAUGUGAUACAUGCACUACAAAGCUGUGACUUGUAUCCCAAAAUUGCUCUCAAAGUCCUCGUAGAAAAGGCCUUAAUAAAAAUUGAGAAAGACGAUAGCAUUUGGAUGCAUGACCAUUUAGAAGACAUGGGAAAAGAAAUUGUUCGGCAAGAGUUUCCUGAUGAGAAAGAAAAACGCAGUAGACUGUGGCUAUAUGAGGAUGUUUGCGAGAUUCUUGAGGAAAACAAAGGAACGGAUAAAAUUAAAGGCAUCGUGGUAAGAGGUUUUUAUUCACAAAAGAUAUGCUUAAACGGCGGAAGCUUCACAAACUUGAAAAAUCUUCAAAUUUUUAUAGUCCGUAGAGGGAUGCUUUAUGGAGAGGGCGUGGAUUAUCUCCCCAACCACUUGAGGGUCCUUCACUUGAUUUCAUUACAAUCGUUGCAACUAGUCGAGGGAUUGAAUUUGAAGGAUAUGCGAUAUUUGAAAUCUAUCAAAUUGUCGUACUCUUAUGGUUUAACAAGAAUUCCCGACUUGUCUGGUUUAACAAGCUUGGAGUAUUUGGAUCUGUCUUAUUGUAAUAGUUUAGUUGAAGUUCAUCCUUCGGUUGGCCGUCUCAAUAAGCUCGUCAAUUUGAAACUCACUCAUUGUGAAAACCUGCAGAUGUUUCCAGAGAGGAUCAACUUGAAAUCUUUGGAAACUCUGGAUCUCUCUUAUUGCCGUUAUCUUAAGUUCUUCCCUGACAUCGAGGGAGACAUGAAGUCUUUGAAUCGCCUGGAUCUAAGUAGGACUAACAUCAAAGAGUUACCUUGCUCAGUUGGAAACUUCACUGGCCUUAAAUCCUUGUCUCUAUCUCACUGUCGUAAUCUUACAAAUGUACCAUCGAGCAUCUUCUAUGGAUUGCAACGUCUGGAGGAUCUAGAUCUACGCGAAUGCUCUAACCUUGUUACAUUUCCAGCAAAGUCAGAAUCACUUCCUCCACCGGUCUUUUCAACUACCCUGACGAGAUUACAAGUUGAUUUGAGCUAUUGCGAGCGGCUUGAAGAAAUUUCAGAAUUUCCACGAGAAAUAGCUUGUCGGUUGGAAGGUUGUUGGUCGUUGGAAAGAAUCUCAUACUUGUCAAAAAUUUUGGAGAGUAAAGAUUCAAAAAUGUUCGGUCGGUGGGACUUGACUAGUUGUUGGAGACUCUGCGACAAUCUGGCUCGUGGAGUAGUAUUUCAUCUGGCCAAGAAGAGAAAGAUGACAUCAUCACCGUUUGCGGGAACCAAGGAAUUGAUGGGAGAGGCUGAUGAAUUGGCGGCUCUUUUGACUCUUUUUUUCUCUCGUGCGAAAUCUGAAGAAUUCCACGUAAAAUUUCCCGGAAGUUGUCGGAUUCAGUUUCCAAACUGGUUCACCUGCCGCCGUCUGUAUAGGGAAUUAAUAACUAAACAGCUUGGAUUUUGCAUUGAAAUUCCUCAAAACUCCAAUUGGUACAGCAAAGGGUUGGCUUUCUGUACUCAAUCGAGGUUUCCUGGGGUCCCUUAUUCUGUUUACAUCAAUGGAGUAAAGUUUGUUGAAAUAAGUGGGAGGUUGAGCCAGAUUGUGUGCGUGCAUUAUAUUCCAUUGGUUACAGUAAUAAGGAGGUUGAGUGAGUGUGGGAUGCCGCCACCUGAUAUGUUUCGAGUUAUGUUUCGUUUUGGAAAUAAUUCUAAUGGAAUUGGAAUGCCUUUCGAGGAAAGCUGGGGAGUCCACCUGAUCGAAGAUUUGGAAGAAGAAAGCCGAUAAUAGUCCAGCUGACUUCCAGUAGGUUCAUUAUCUUUUUCUUUUUGUGUGUUUUCAGGCUUCUUUUAUAGCCUACUAUCAUUCUCAAAAUCAAAAUGCUAUUUGAAUCAGAAAACGCAUUCUGUUGUCCAAGUAUAUGCUCAUUCUGCUGCCACUGAGUAUGACAUUGACACACCCGAGUUACUAAACACUUACCUCCGAAGAACUACUCCUUUGAAAACAUGAUGCUCGAUCAUCAUCAUACAAUGUUAAGAGCAAGUGGAUUAUGUACUUCAUUAGCAAGCAAGGUUGGACCUACCAUGGAUUUCAUUCAUUUUUGCCAUGCCUAGUCAAACACACCUCAAGAGGGUUUGGGUCUCUUGCAGCUUUGGUGGCAUAGUGAAUCCCGGUCCUCUUCUCCAGUCAAUUGUCACUAUCCCAUUAGCGAGUGUAAUGGAUUCUGUUUCACAAGGUUACUUCCAAUGUUGUCCACACCUUCUGGGUUCUAAUGUCUACCUAAAAUUAGUUCAGCACUCUUUUCGCUUGUUUUCAUUUUCUUUUAGUAUAGGCAGUAAUGUUUGUGAGUUAGUUUACCUUUGUUACUGUGAAGUUCUUGAUGAAUAAUCUGAUUAAGAUGAAAGGAGAACAGCAUUUGGGCCUCUUAAGAAGAAGGCAAUACAUGCUUGUUGCAAGUUUGGGUCAUCCUUGAAAAAAAGGUUCAAGGGUUAGAGUAAUGUCUGCCCAGAUUGAGGAGGACACUGAUGCAGAAGAGUUGCAGGCGGGUGGAAGCAUUUCACCAAGAGCUUAUAUUGGAACAACAUGGUGAUUGAUCAACAUAUAUAAGAUGCUGAGCUGGUACAGAUUUUUAAGGGCCCAGCAAGUGCGGGAUGAUAUGCUCAACUUGAGGAAGGAAUUUUUUUGUUCAACUGUGGUACAGAUUUUUGCUUCCAUUGGAGCUUUUAGUGGAGACAGUCUCGUUUGACUACUUUUAAACUUCUUUCUUUGUUUAUUUUGUAGACAGACUGAUCUAAUCAGUGGGAUGCCAAACUGCUCGAGAUUUAA